ensembl:snoRNA T23G5.7 ncRNA
CCAGACAGAACUUUAAGAGUACUGCUUGGACUGAGUUUACUAACUUCGAAUAUGAAAUAGUUGAUCGAUAACCGGAAUAUACUCAAAAAAAAAGGUGUGCUCCGGACAAAAAUCAACUAACAAAA